UUAACCCUCUAAGCGAGAUUUAGUGAGUUAAACUCACCGGAUUAGCGAGCCGAGCGGACCAAAACGACGGGGACGCCGAGGAGAACAACUUUCCUCAAAGCGGGCUGAGCAUCCGAGCUCGGGAAGGCAGCCAAAACGGGCCAAACGUCCGCUGCAUACCCAUUUUUUUUCCAGCUGCUGUCCAUUGCGAUUUGAGGCCGAGGAAGGGUAGAUCCGGAGCUUGGAUGAGAUGGGGAAGGAUCGGGGAAGGUUGAGGGGUCGAACCGGCCCAAGGAGGGACCCGAACGGUGGCCGGAGGUGGCCGAACGGCUCCGGCACGGGUUGAUACAGCAGCUGCG
rnacentral:lncRNA from 1 species